rnacentral:rRNA from 1 species
UACGUAGGGUCCGAGCGUUGUCCGGAAUUACUGGGCGUAAAGAGCUCGUAGGUGGUUUGUCGCGUCUGCCGUGAAAAGUCCGGGGCUCAACUCCGGAUCUGCGGUGGGUACGGGCAGACUAGAGUGAUGUAGGGGAGACUGGAAUUCCUGGUGUAGCGGUGAAAUGCGCAGAUAUCAGGAGGAACACCGAUGGCGAAGGCAGAUCUCUGGGCCGUAACUGACGCUGAGGAGCGAAAGCAUGGGGAGC